rnacentral:rRNA from 1 species
AUGGAGGCGGAUGACCGCGACGACGACGGCUGGCAGUGCCGGCCGCUGGGGCUCCUGAUCGGCCUGCCGUUCGCCGCCCUCGCGUUAGUGCUCUCGCUCGCCGGCGCCGUCGUCUGGAUCCUCGGGUCGGCGCUGAGCUGCGUGUGCCCGUGCUGCGUGUGCUGCGCGGCGGCGGCGAACCUGGCGGUGGGCCUCGUCCAGAUGCCCGUCAAGGUCAUCCGCUGGUUUAUCAGGCAGAUCCCCUGCUAG